AGAGUUUGAUCCUGGCUCAGAACAAACGCUGGCGGCGUGCCUAAUACAUGCAAGUCGAACGGGGAGAGCUUUCGGGUGAGUACUAGUGGCGCACGGGUGAGUAACGCGUGGAUAAUCUGCCUUGGAGUGGGGGAUAACGAAUCGAAAGAUUCGCUAAUACCGCAUAAGACCACAAGAACUGCGGUUCAAGGGGUCAAAGGUUUUUCGUUCCAAGAUGAGUCCGCGUAAGAUUAGCUAGUUGGUGAGGUAAUGGCUCACCAAGGCGACGAUCUUUAACUGGUCUGAGAGGAUGAUCAGUCACACUGGAACUGAGACACGGUCCAGACUCCUACGGGAGGCAGCAGUAGGGAAUAUUGCACAAUGGAGGAAACUCUGAUGCAGCGACGCCGCGUGAGUGAUGAAGGCCUUCGGGUCGUAAAGCUCUGUCGCAGGGGAAUAACACAAUGAAUGUACCCUGUAAGAAAGGAUCGGCUAACUUCGUGCCAGCAGCCGCGGUAAGACGAGGGAUCCUAGCGUUGUUCGGAAUUAUUGGGCGUAAAGCGGGUGUAGGUGGCUAUGUAAGUCAGGUGUGAAAGCCUAGGGCUCAACCCUAGAAGUGCAUCUGAUACUGCGUAGCUUGAGUGGUAGAGAGGAUAGUAGAAUUCUCGGUGUAGUGGUGAAAUACGUAGAUAUCAAGAGGAAUACCGGUGGCGAAGGCGGCUAUC
rnacentral:rRNA from 1 species